rnacentral:rRNA from 1 species
GACGAACGCUGGCGGCGUGCUUAACACAUGCAAGUCGAACGGAAAGGCCCUGCUUUUGUGGGGUGCUCGAGUGGCGAACGGGUGAGUAACACGUGAGUAACCUGCCCUUUACUUUGGGAUAACUUCAUGAAACUGGGGCUAAUACCGGAUCGGAGCUUCUGCUUCAUGGUUGGGUUUGGAAAGUUUCGGCGGUUGGGGAUGGACUCGCGGCUUAUCAGUAUGUUGGUGGGGUAGUGGCUUACCAAGGCUUUGACGGGUAGCCGGGCUGAGAGGGUGACCGGCCACAUUGGGACUGAGAUACGGCCCAGACUCCUACGGGAGGCAGCAGUGGGGAAUAAUGCAAAAUGGGCGGAAGCGUGAGGCAGCAACGCCGCGUGCGGGAUAACGGCCUUCGGGUUGUAAACCGCUUUCGCAGGUGACGAAGCGUGAGUGACGGUAAUGGGUAAAGAAGCACCGGCUAACUACGUG